UACGUAGGGUGCAAGCGUUGUCCGGAAUCAUUGGGCGUAAAGCGCGCGUAGGUGGCUUUGUAAGUCCGUUGUGAAAGUCAGAGGCUCAACCUUUGAAUGCCGAUGGAUACUGCAGAGCUAGAGUACGGAAGAGGCGAGUGGAAUUCCUGGUGUAGCGGUGGAAUGCGCAGAUAUCAGGAGGAACACCGGUGGCGAAGGCGGGUCUCUGGGCCGAUACUGACGCUGAGGAGCGAAAGCGUGGGGAGCGAACAGG
rnacentral:rRNA from 1 species